CCAUCUCAAUUUCUCUUUAUUCAAAAAUAACAAUCAACGUGAUUUACAUUAUUAUACUCGAUUUCUUAUCUCAAAUAAUCAUAGCCAAAUGAUUUUCAGUUUCAUCAUUUCCUAACCUCGAAAUCUCGAAACAAUUAUGUCACUAUUAAAAUAUUUCGAUACACGAUUCGAGAUAUAAUACUACUAAAAAAAACGGUAUCUCCCAAUCAACUGUCAAUCUUUAAAUUAUUUAUCGUAGAAGAACGAAAAGAGAGAAAGAGAGAGAAUUUUUACUCAAAGGCCCGAUUUACAUGGAAGUAGUAUACAUACGCCCGCGCACUAAUUUCCAUGCAAAUAAAGGUCGUCAACGAGAGAGAGAGCGCGCAGACGCCCCACUCUCACGCGAUUCUGAACACGGUCACAAGCAGAACACAUAUCUACAUAGCAGGCGCGGAGGAGGCGCCUAUGUGUACGCUAGUACCAAUACCAAAGCUAACUUAGACCGAUAUGCACGACCGUCUUGUUCUCCGCGAUCUCUCGCGACGCCAGUUCGUUUCUAGCGUCGUUCGCAAACUCAGUCACGCGUGCCCUCCCCAAUUUUUCCGCCGAACCGGAAACCGUGCCGCGACACGCGCCUAGCGCCACACCGUUUCGUCUGCCAGUUUUUCCUCUCUCGCGUAUGUCGAUCAGACAGGACCCAGAGUGGCCAGCCGUUUAACCAGGCUUACCAGUGUCGUCGUUCGCUCUUCUGGCACCGUUAUUCCGUCCUUGAAAAGAUACCAGUCUUACGAGAAGCAUCUAGAGACAUCGACCGAAGUGAAGCCGCAGUAUUCGUGCGAUCGUUAUAUCCCAUUGAUUCACCUCGACUUUUACUCGUAAACAUCGAAAGAAGUUUGUUUGGAUACGUGCAUUGCCUCGUCUAUCUUGCUAUUGGACGAAAUUCUUAGGAUUUCGAGUAGGAUAUCAUCGUAACAGGAUAACAGUAUACAGGAAGGUACCACCAUGAAAUUCAAGCGAGAAUGCAUUGGUAUUUUGUUCACGGAGAUGUAAUACGAGAAAUAAAGCAGGACAUUAAAAGAAACUAACCAUCGCGUAAACUUGUACGACAAGUUUCGUUCACACGACACUGACAACCUUUCAUCAAGUUCAAUGUUGAAUUAAAAGAAUAUACAUAAACUAUAUGCCAUGUAUGUCUUUUUUUGGCUUUUUUUUUCAAUAAACAAUCAAAUUUUUUUCGGUAUAUAAUUUAUUCGUAUGACGUACUUAUGUUAUUUUGUAUGAUUACUUUUCUACUUUUCUAUGAAAUCAAUCAUUACGGUAAAUAACGUAAAUAACAUGUACAUUUCUUUUGUUUUUUUUCUUUGAGCAAAGUCUGUAAUUUUAUAGGGAUUAAUAUUAAUAUUAUAAAACAUUUAAGAACUCCUACGAACAAAUUUAAAAUUAAAAAAAAAAAUAAACUUUACAAUCUUAUAUGUGUAAA